GUGCAUUUAGGUCGCUGCUUCCGUCAAUCUAAUUACCUUUACUCAAGGAGUGGAAUGCAGCACCCCAUGGUGUAGAACCUACCGUUUACACAUGAUGACGGAGUUACUUCUUUGGUUCAAGUGCUGCUGCCUUCUGCUUUCAAUGCUGAAGAUCCCAGGUCCCAUCCCUUCAACACUGGAUCUAUAUGGUGCUCCCUCCUUAGCCCAGCGCGAAGGAUUCCUGCCUUCUCUUCAAAUCCCGCCUCAAACAUUGCUGCUUCUGCAAAGCGCACCCAGAAUCACCCGGGCCUGUAUGCAGACAUCUUCCAUCUCUUUCGCCGUGGUUGCUGUUAUUAACAGAGGGCCAAAGGAUCACUGCCCUCUGGAGGCUGAAACCGGAACAGCAAAUGCACCAGAAAGAAAACAAGGGAUGGAACAAAAGGCCAGUCCAGAAUUUAUUCAUCUGAAUUUUAGCGUUUGUUUGUAAGUAACAGUUGAAAUAAACACAA